UACGGAGGGUGCGAGCGUUGUCCGGAAUCACUGGGCGUAAAGGGCGCGUAGGCGGCGUGGUAAGUCAGCUGUGAAAUCUCCGAGCUUAACUCGGAACGGUCAGCUGAUACUGCUGUGCUAGAGUACAGAAAGGGCAAUCGGAAUUCUUGGUGUAGCGGUGAAAUGCGUAGAUAUCAAGAGGAACACCUGAGGCGAAGGCGGGUUGCUAGGCUGAUACUGACGCUGAGGCGCGAAAGCUAGGGUAGCAAACGGG
rnacentral:rRNA from 1 species